AGUGAACGCUGGCGGUGGGCCUAACACAUGCGAGUUGAACGGCAGCACAGUAAGAGCUUGCUCUUACGGGUGGCGAGUGGCGGACGGGUGAGGAAUACAUCGGAAUCUACUUUUUCGUGGGGGAUAACGUAGGGAAACUUACGCUAAUACCGCAUACGACCUACGGGUGAAAGCAGGGGAUCUUCGGACCUUGCGCGAUUGAAUGAGCCGAUGUCGGAUUAGCUAGUUGGCGGGGUAAAGGCCCACCAAGGCGACGAUCCGUAGCUGGUCUGAGAGGAUGAUCAGCCACACUGGAACUGAGACACGGUCCAGACUCCUACGGGAGGCAGCAGUGGGGAAUAUUGGACAAUGGGCGCAAGCCUGAUCCAGCCAUACCGCGUGGGUGAAGAAGGCCUUCGGGUUGUAAAGCCCUUUUGCUGGGAAAGAAAAGCAGCAGGUUAAUACCCCGCUGUUCUGACGGUACCCAAAGAAUAAGCACCGGCUAACUUCGUG
rnacentral:rRNA from 1 species